rfam:Aedes albopictus isolate Foshan contig21083, whole genome shotgun sequence.
UGCCCAGAAACUCCUAUCCCUACCUUUUCGUGGUACCGGCCGGAAACUAUGAGCAACCUUAGGGAAGA